CUCCAUUCAGUGUUGCACCAUGUUUGUGCAGUAUGCCACAAAAUAAGCGUCCCUGGCCACCCACAGUCCAGCCCCUUCUGUAUGUGUAGCUAAGGCAGAGAUUACACACUUCCUUGUUGUCAUACCCAUUCAUACCGUCAGUUGGAGCUCUGACAGGUUAAAAGCAGUCAGCUGACACUCUCAGCCAAUCACUGCUGACCAUUGCUGCUCAGGGUAAAACUUCCUUAUUAGCCAAAGCAGC
rnacentral:lncRNA from 1 species